rnacentral:rRNA from 1 species
AUACGGAGGAUGCGAGCGUUAUCCGGAUUUAUUGGGUUUAAAGGGUGCGCAGGCGGCCAUUUAAGUCAGCGGUUAAAUCGUGGGGCUCAACCCCAUUCUGCCGUUGAUACUGGGUGGCUUGAUUGCGGUCGAGGUUGGCGGAGUUCGUUGUGUAGCGGUGAAAUGCAUAGAUAUGACGAAGAACACCGAUUGCGUAGGCAGCUGACCAGACCGCAAAUGACGCUCAUGCACGAAAGUGCGGGGAUCGAACAGGAUUAGAUACCCUGGUAGUCCGCACAGUAAACGAUGAAUACUUGUUUUCGGCGAUAUAAUGUCGGAGGCAAAGCGAAAGCGAUAAGUAUUCCACCUGGGGAGUACGCCGGCAACGGUGAAACUCAAAUGAAUUGACGGGG